GCCACCCUUCCUAGGAGGCGGCACGGGCCUCCCUGCUAGGGCUCCGCUCCCCGGCGCGAGCCCGCGCGCCCUCCGCAGCGAGGUCCCUGCGCUCCCGGCCCGGCCCGGAGUGGGUUCCCCUCCCGCCCGCCUCCUCCGGCAGGCGGCAGCGCCUGUUCUUGAGGCGAUUUUGACAGCAAUCUUCGUGCCAAGCUAUUAUGAAGUGUGAUGUUAGUGCGUUCUGGAGGACGGAUAAUGUAUACAAACGCCAGUUCUUGACACGCUAUCUUACACGGAAACGUCUGAGACCAUCAGAGGACAAGACUGCUACUACUACAGUUGGGGAAUUUCUCAUUCUGUGCUCCUGUGCCCAGGGGUCCUGUCUAGCCCACAAAUCUCUGCCAGGAACGGUGCUGUCCACACCAGAGUAGAAGACAUCUGCAGAGUUCAUCUUUGGGGUUCAUUUUGGCUGAGGCUCCGAACCAUAGAAUUGCAGGCAUCCAAGAUUUUCCUAAACCCUAGGUUGGAGCCAUUUGCAGCACAUAGUCCUUCUCCACUUCAAAUGACCCUGUACACAUGCACAUCCAUAGCAGAGAUGGAAGUCUUGGCAACUAUAGGACAAAGAUGGAAGAUUUUAAAACAAACACUGUGUUCAGGGUGAAAAUUACCUGUACCAACAAUGUUUUCCCUCCACAGUGUCACUGCCACCAAGCAACCUCAUCAGUCUGGGCUUAUGUCAUUGAAAAUGUGCUUAAUUCCAGAUAUACUCCUCGAUAGCUAUAUGUAUGUGGCAAGUGUAUUAAUCAAGUUUAUGAAAAAAAAUCCUCCCAUCUUAAAAGAAAAUGUGGAACCUAAACUCUAAUUCAAAUAUUUGAAAACAUAUAGUUUAAUAAAAUGGCAAUUGCAUACACUCCCUGAUGAUUGU